UUCUCCCAGCGUGCAAAUUCAUUUUAUAAUGUAAUAUACUUGAGUGUUCAUGUGUGGAAUACUAUUAUGAAAGGAAAUUCUUCAACUAUAAUUUUUGUCCAAAUCAUGUAAAGAUCUCCCUGAUGGAACCGUGGUAUAUACCAGUAUUUUGUCAAGGUUAGUACUAUAUAAUGUUCUCAUUAAAUUUCUUGUGCCAUUUUUUGGGAGUGUCAGCUAAAUGUUUAAAGACGUUAGUAUUUACCUAAUACAACCAUUUUUUGGUGAUGUUGCAAAAAUCUGAACCAUCUUUGUUAUGGAUCCUAUUUGUGUGUCUACACACACAAUAUUGAAUUAUUUCUAUUUUGUUGUUAACUUUCUUGCUCACCAAAAGAAACAUUUUUAAUACUUACCUAUAUUAAUGCAUUAAAUAGUAGAGAUAUGCUUGUCUGCCUUUUUUUGAAUAAAGAUGAUAGCUAGCCUAACAUAAUAUGUAAUAUUACAUUGGGCUCAUGAAUUAUCUACUCAACCCUUCAUCAUUCUCCACCUUCAAACACCAAGGGGGAUGAGGAUGAUCAAAGCUCAUAAAAUUAUUAGGCAUGCCAUGAGUAUGCCUAGCUCAAGAGUUUGCGCAUCUAGCAAAGAAAUGAAGACUAGCUUCCACUGUUUGUAUUCAAACUUUUUAUCAAUUCACUUUUGUACGCAGUUUCAUGUUUGCUUGUACAUUUGUGCACAAUUGCAUGUGGUCCCUACAGUUUACACAAACCUCAGGGGUUGGUGUUACUUAUUCAAAUCAGGUAUUGCAAAUUAAGGAAAAGAUGCUAUUAUUCCAUAGUCUUGUUUGGAUGAUGCCCAAGUUGUAUUGUAUAUGUUGUUGCACAGUAUUCUGUGACACAGCAUUUCAAUAGUUCAGAGUUUGGUGCAGUUCCUAGAGUCUUUUUCUUUUAUGAUAUAAAUCCAAUCAAGUGACUAUUUGUUUAAACCUUUUCUAAUUGGAGAUUGGAGAUUUUGAUGUCAGAAAAAUCAUUUCUCCUAAGCUCAAAAUUGAAGAUGGUAAGAAAACCAGCAGAAUGGACUAGCAGGUUUGGGAUAUUUUGUCAACUACCAUUGAUUGAAUCUGAGUAAUGUUGGACUGUGCUCUAUACUCCAAGAUGAGGAGAAUUUUGGCCAUCUCCAACUCUAUCAGAUGAAUAGGUUCUCCCAGAAAUAUGAACAAGCUCUAUUAGUAUAUUCUGGAUAGCGAUAUUAAAGAGAAAAAGAAGUGUUCGUGCGGCAAGUUUUGGGCAAUUGGUGAAGCAAAUUAAAGAUUUGAAGGCGUGGACUUGGCAUCCAAAGGUGUUGUAAUGUUCCUUACAUGCAUGGCUAGAGAUAUAUCAAAAUGGGAUAUAUGGCUUGUAAGGUAAAAUAACUAUUUGGAUUUAAAAUUGAUGUCUUUGCUUUUGGUAUUUGCAUCUUAAUGCACUCAUUUGAGGCUCGGUGAUCAUUUUAUCAUUUGAUGCCUAAUCUGAAAGUGCAGAAAUAUAUUUAUAGGGAUCUACUUUUACUUUUUCA